rnacentral:rRNA from 1 species
AGUGGCGGACGGGUGAGUAACGCGUGAGAAUCUGCCUUCAGGAUGGGGACAACAGUUAGAAAUGACUGCUAAUACCCAAUGUGCCGAAAGGUGAAAUUUAUUUAGCCUGAAGAGGAGCUCGCGUCCGAUUAGCUAGUUGGGGUGGUAAAAGCGCACCAAGGCAACGAUCGGUAGCUGGUCUGAGAGAAUGAGCAGCCACACUGGGACUGAGACACGGCCCAGACUCCUACGGGAGGCAGCAGUGGGGAAUUUUCCACAAUGGGCGAAAGCCUGACGGAGCAAUACCGCGUGAGGGAGGAAGGCUUUUGGGUUGUAAACCUCUUUUCUCAAGGAAGAAGAACUGACGGUACUUGAGGAAUAAGCAUCGGCUAACUCCGUGCCAGCAGCCGCGGUAAUACGGAGGAUGCAAGCGU